rnacentral:rRNA from 1 species
CCCUUAGAUGUUCUGGGCCGCACGCGCGCUACAAUGAUGAAUUCAACGAGUUUAUAACCUUGGUUGAAAAGCCUGGGUAAUCUUUUGAACUUUCGUCGUGAUGGGGCUAGACCCUUGCAAUUAUUGGUCUCCAACGAGGAAUUCCUAGUAAACGCAAGUCAUCAGCUUGCAUUGAUUACGUCCCUGCCCUUUGUACACACCGCCCGUCGCACCUACCGAUUGAAUGGUCCGGUGAAAUCUUCGGAUUGAGACUUUGUUUUCUUCACGGAAAACGCUGUUUUAAAAAGUUGAUUAAACCUUACCAUUUAGAGGAAGGUGAGGUCGUAACA